UUUUAGAAAUUAAUUUAAAGUCUAACCUGCCCACUGAAUAUUUAAAUGGCCGCAGUAUUCUAACUGUGCAAAGGUAGCAUAAUCAUUAGUCUUUUAAUUAAAGGCUGGAAUGAAUGGUUGAAUGAAAUAUUAACUGUUUCAUAAAAAUUUAUAAUAAAAUUUUAUUUUUUAGUUAAAAAGCUAAAAUAAAGUUAAAAGACGAGAAGACCCUAUAAAUCUUUAUAUUUAGUUAAUUUUAGUUAUAUUGAAAAAUUAAAUUAUAAUUAUUUUAAAUAUUUUAUUGGGGUGAUAUUAAAAUUUAAUAAACUUUUAAUUUAUAAUUUACAUAAAUUAAUGAAUUUUUGAUCCAUAAAUUAUGAUUAAAAAAUUAAGUUACUUUAGGGAUAACAGCGUAAUUUUUUUAGAGAGUUCAUAUUGAUAAAAA
rnacentral:rRNA from 1 species